rnacentral:rRNA from 1 species
AGACCUCACGUUAUUCGAGCGGCCGACGUCUGAUUAGCUAGUUGGUGAGGUAAUGGUCCACCAAGGCGACGAUCAGUAGCGGGUCUGAGAGGAUGAUCCGCCACACUGGGACUGAGACACGGCCCAGACUCCUACGGGAGGCAGCAGUGGGGAAUUUUGGACAAUGGGGGCAACCCUGAUCCAGCCAUUCCGCGUGAGUGAAGAAGGCCUUCGGGUUGUAAAGCUCUUUCAGCAGGAACGAAACGGUAGAGGCUAAUACCCUCUGCUAAUGACGGUACCUGCAGAAGAAGCACCGGCUAACUACGUGCCAGCAGCCGCGGUAAUACGUAGGGUGCGAGCGUUAAUCGGAAUUACUGGGCGUAAAGCGUGCGCAGGCGGAUUGUUAAGCAAGACGUGAAAUCCCCGGGCUUAACCUGGGAAUGGCGUUUUGAACUGGCAGUCUAGAGUGUGUCAGAGGGGGGUGGAAUUCCACGUGUAGCAGUGAAAUGCGUAGAGAUGUGGAGGAACACCAAUGGCGAAGGCAGCCCCCUGGGAUAACACUGACGCUCAUGUACGAAAGCGUGGGUAGCAAACAGGAUUAGAUACCCUGGUAGUCCACGCCCUAAACGAUGUCAACUGGUUGUUGGGGGAGUGAAAUCCCUUAGUAACGAAGCUAACGCGUGAAGUUGACCGCCUGGGGAGUACGGUCGCAAGAUUAAAACUCAACGGAAUUGACGGGGACCCGCACAAGCGGUGGAUGAUGUGGAUUAAUUCGAUGCAACGCGAAAAACCUUACCUACCCUUGACAUGUCCAGAAUCCUGCAGAGAUGCGGGAGUGCCCGAAAGGGAAUUGGAACACAGGUGCUGCAUGGCUGUCGUCAGCUCGUGUCGUGAGAUGUUGGGUUAAGUCCCGCAACGAGCGCAACCCUUAUCAUUAGUUGCUACGCAAGGGCACUCUAAUGAGACUGCCGGUGACAAACCGGAGGAAGGUGGGGAUGACGUCAAGUCCUCAUGGCCCUUAUGGGUAGGGCUUCACACGUCAUACAAUGGUCGGUACAGAGGGUUGCCAAGCCGCGAGGUGGAGCCAAUCCCAGAAAGCCGAUCGUAGUCCGGAUUGUUCCCUGCAACUCGAGAGCAUGAAGUCGGAAUCGCUAGUAAUCGCGGAUCAGCAUGUCGCGGUGAAUACGUUCCCGGGUCUUGUACACACCGCCCGUCACACCAUGGGAGUGGAAUCUGCCAGAAGUAGGUAGCCUAACCGCAAGGAGGGCGCUUACCACGGUGGG